UUUAAGUGCAGUUGUGGAUUUUUUUAAUAUUUAAUCAUCCGUUUUAUUUGAAAUUAUUUUAUAAUUAGUUUUUUUAUAAGAUGAUAAACCAUAAAUAGUAUUUUAUGUUUGACUUUGUUUUUUAAGUUCUUCAUAAACUUUUCAAGACAGUCAAACGUUGGACACGGGAACUCACGACUACACUUAAA
rfam:Oryza sativa Japonica Group DNA, chromosome 8, cultivar: Nipponbare, complete sequence.